CUCUUUAAGAAAUUAAUUUAAAGUCAAAUCUGCCCACUGAUUUAAAUUUAAAUGGCUGCAGAAUCAAUAACUGUACAAAGGUAGCAUAAUAAUUUGUUUUUUAAUUAAAAACUAGAAUGAACGAUUUAAUUAAAUAUUAACUAUAUCAAUUAAAAAUAUUUAAAUUAUUAUUUAAGUAAAAAAACUUAAAUUUUUAAAAAAGACGACAAGACCCUAUAGAAUUUAAUUUAUAUUAAAAAAUAAAUAAUAUUUAUUAAUAAAUUUAUUAAUUAUAAAUUUAAUUGGGGUAAUAAAAAAAUUUAAUAAAUUUUUUUACAAAUAAAACAAAAAUUUUUGAAUUAAAAAUCUUAAAAUUUAAAUUAAUAAAAUUAAUUACCUUAGGGAUAACAGCAUAAUUUUUUUUAAAAGAUCACAUUAAUAAUAAAGAUUAU
rnacentral:rRNA from 1 species